rnacentral:siRNA from 1 species
UCGAAAUCGGGGUCAUCUGGAUC